UUGUCUCCAUUACGGGUGAGAUGACUACGAGAAAUUUUCCAUUUAAUCAUUCAAAUACUUAAGGACUCUAGUUUGUCAAUAUAGAUUAAUGCAGAAAACUCAGCAUUACAAGAUCGAGGCUAGAACUACAAGAGAACUUGAACUGAAGGUCCCGUCUGGCAACUCUAUAUGAAAGUCCAUGUGUCCAGUCACAUUCAGACUGAUGUUGUAUGGAGGCUGUUCUGAUCGAGGCUAGAACUACAAGAGAACUUGAAUUGAAGACCCCGUCUGGCAACUCUAUAUGAAAGUCCAUGUGUCCAGUCACAUUCAGACUGAUGUUGUAUGGAGGCUG